GCCAUCUUAAGAUGCAAAGCCCUAUGGGAAAGAGGAGGCUGUUAUUUUAUGUAGCAGCCAUCUUAAAGUCUUUCUAAACAACAAGAUGAAAAAGUAAAGAAAGGCCAAAUUUGGCCACAAGCAUGGAUGAAAGGCUGAGACACACUUCUUGGCCUACCGUGGCUCUGGACCUGAGGCCACCAUGUACAGCUGCCCAGAACCUUGCUGGUGGUGAACCCCGUGCAUGGAAAGCCUAGAGAAGGACACAAAUGAGAAACUGAAGCCUGGUCACCCAGCUGUAGAGAAGUGACGUUAUGUGGGAAGCAAUGUUAUGAGAAGACAACAGCAACAGCAUCGUGCAAUGAGGAGAGCAAACAGGGACUCUUUCAAGGGGACAAAACUAAAGAUGCUGCUGCACACAUCUCUUGGUAAAGUACCCACACAGAUCCCCUACAGUCUGAUCAGAAUGGCAGCCAAUCUGAUGAGGAAGUGCCAUCUGAAGUGAGCUCGGUGAUCUGAAGAGGAAAAGUAAGGAAUCACUUGUGCAAUAAACAGUGAGUAGGGAGGGCAUUGGACCAAAAAUCAGGUAGGCAAAAAGCAAGAGUAGGUGAGGAUGGAAAGGCUAACUUGGACCAGCAGUGUCUGAUCAAAGUGCGGGGGCAAGCAAGAACAAUGGGGCUCAUACCCACGGCCCUGUUCCCCUUUCCCAAGUCAUGCACCUGGCCCAACAACCUGAGGCAGCAUCCAUUAGCACAAUCAUGGAGUCUGGCCCUGGGUUUGGGCUGGCUGCCUCCCUAGGACCAGAUGGAGCAAGUCUUCUCAGGCUGGGCUCCAGAGAUGGGAGUUGAUUCAGGGGAUAAUGAGGAGCCUGCUAAGGGUUUGAAGACAGAAGAGAGAUGUGUGAAAUUGAGUUAGAUUUAAGGACGAGUUCAUUUAUGAGACAGACGCCAUGACAGGUGAUGACGGGCUGCACCAAAGUUAAUUGGGAAAUUCCAGUGAACUGUAUUUGUUCAGCUUCUGAAUGAGGGAAUGGGAGACUAGAAAACAGGAACUGCUCAAAAACGUAUUGCACCCUUUGGAUGGGAAACAAGAAUGCUGACAAAAGUGGGAGUCCGGAUUGAGCAAGAUGGGCAGAAAAUAGCUAUAGACCUAUGGGAACAGAAACCAGCACCUUAACACCUUAAACACGGCAGGCACUUCAAAUGACCCUCAACCAUUUAGCACCCCCUUAGCUGGCCUCACACCAGAAUGCAAGGAAAGAAUUAUUUUCCCACUACUGUGCUGUUUCAGCUGAAAACACCCUGAUGUCAAAGUACCAACUAUGUACUGAGGACUAACAAAGGAAGGUAUAAAAUUGGGUUUCCUGGUAAAUAUUUUGUUCUUGAAAACUCCUCCCCUGCCAAACCUUCUGCACAAAGGUAUCCCUGACACGGUGACAAGGCCCAUCCCUUUAGGAUGAGACAUAGCCAUGCCAGGCAAGAGUCUGAUAAAGGAAGCAAGGCAUGCUAUGAGAUCAAGAUUGCUCUCCCCUCAGCCAACCUGGGAAAGUGGAAUUUAUCUCCUGCUGUUGUUUCUGAAUAAAGAUCUUGGUUUUAAGUGCAAAUAACUGUCUGGUAGGGAAAACAAAAAGCUCAUUACUAGCCAUUCACACCUUGAUUCAUUUAACAGGGCCCAAAGGAGGGCAGAGCCUCCAGGAUAAAGAAUAAUAAAUAUUAAUCACACUUUAGAAUAAAUUGAGAAGUUAUGCACUCAUUAUCUUGAUCCUUACAGCAAUCCUGAGAGCCUUACAGUAUUCUCUCCCUUUUAUAGCUGAGGGAAUGAGGACCCAGAGACUUCCAGUGACUUACUGAAGAACACACAUGGUUGCUGGCAGAGCUGGGACUUGAACUCAGGGCUCCUGAAUCCAGCCUGGCACCCUGUCCUCGGUGUGGGUGGUAGGUAGCUGCUGAGGGCUGUGGGGUACUGUCCCAAGGUUAUGUGUGAUGCAGGCCUGAGAAGACCAGAGUUGGGGACUCCUUGAGGCAUGCCAUCACCUGCCCCUACCGCCACACUGUCAAGGCCUCUGUCCUAAACUCAAGGGGAGAUGGAAUAAGGAUGAAAGAAUGGUGAGCAAUAAUCUCUGGCUACCUGUCCACCC